rnacentral:rRNA from 1 species
UUUAUACAAACAUGUCUUAUUGGUUAUUUAUAUUAAGUCUGGCCUGCCCAAUGAUUUUAUUUAAUGGCCGCAGUAUUUUGACUGUGCGAAGGUAGCAUAAUCAUUUGUCCUUUAAUUGGGGACUGGAAUGAAUGGUUUGAUGAAAAAUUAACUUUCUUUAUUUUAUUAAUAAAAAUUUAAUUUUUAAGUUAAAAAGCUUAAAUUUAUUUAAGGGACGAGAAGACCCUAUAGAGCUUUACUAUUUUAUUUUAUUUUUAAUUUUUGUUUAUAUUAUUAAAUUUUUUAUUUAAUAGUUUUGUUGGGGUGACAUAUAAAUUUUUAUAACUUUAUAUAUAUAUAAACAUUAAUUAAUGUUUUUUUUGAUCCUAUAUUAUAGAUUAUAAGAUUAAGCUACCUUAGGGAUAACAGCGUAAUUCUAUUGGGGAGUUCUUAUUUAUAAUAGAGUUUGCGACCUCGAUGUUGGAUUAAAAUAAGCUUAGGGUGCAAAAGUUCUUUAGCUAAGUCUGUUCGACUUUUAAAAUUUUACAUGUCGGUUUUCCA